rnacentral:rRNA from 1 species
AGGAUGAACGCUGGCGGCGUGCUUAACACAUGCAAGUCGAACGGUGAAGCUGGAGCUUGCUCCAGUGGAUCAGUGGCGAACGGGUGAGUAACACGUGAGUAACCUGCCCUUGACUCUGGGAUAAGCGUUGGAAACGACGUCUAAUACCGGAUACGAGCUUCAGUCGCAUGACUAGGAGCUGGAAAGAAUUUCGGUCAAGGAUGGACUCGCGGCCUAUCAGCUAGUUGGUGAGGUAACGGCCCACCAAGGCGACGACGGGUAGCCGGCCUGAGAGGGUGACCGGCCACACUGGGACUGAGACACGGCCCAGACUCCUACGGGAGGCAGCAGUGGGAAUAUUGCACAAUGGGCGCAAGCCUGAUGCAGCAACGCCGCGUGAGGACGACGGCCUUCGGUGUAACCUCUUUAGUAGGAAGAAGCGAAAGUGACGGUACCUGACAGAAAAGCGACCGGCUAACUACGUAGCCAGCAGCCGC